rnacentral:rRNA from 1 species
UACGUAGGGACCAAGCGUUGUUCGGAUUUACUGGGCGUAAAGCGCACGUAGGCGGCUUUUCAAGUCAGGGGUGAAAGCCCGGGGCUCAACCCCGGAAUUGCCCUUGAAACUGGAAGGCUAGAAUCACGGAGAGGUGGGUGGAAUUCCGAGUGUAGAGGUGAAAUUCGUAGAUAUUCGGAAGAACACCAGUGGCGAAGGCGGCCCACUGGACGUGUAUUGACGCUGAGGUGCGAAAGCGUGGGGAGCAAACAGG